rnacentral:rRNA from 1 species
CCUACGGGAGGCAGCCGUGAGGAAUAUUGGUCAAUGGACGCAAGCCUGAACCAGCCAUGCCGCGUGCAGGAAGACGGCUCUAUGAGUUGUAAACUGCUUUUGUACGAGGGUAAACGCAGAUACGCGUACCUGUCUGAAAGUAUCGUAUGAAUAAGGAUCGGCUAACUCCGUGCCAGCAGCCGCGGUAAUACGGAGGAUUCAAGCGUUAUCCGGAUUUAUUGGGUUUAAAGGGUGCGUAGGCGGUCGGAUAAGUUAGAGGUGAAAUCCCGAGGCUCAACUUCGGAAUUGCAUCGGAUACUGUUCGGCUAGAGAGUAGUUGCGGUAGGCGGAAUGUAUGGUGUAGCGGUGAAAUGCUUAGAGAUCAUACAGAACACCGAUUGCGAAGGCAGCUUACCAAGCUACUUCUGACGUUGAGGCACGAAAGCGUGGGGAGCAAACAGGAUUAGAUACCCGGGUAGUC